CCUACGGGCGGCAGCAGUCGAGAAUCAUUCACAAUGGGGGAAACCCUGAUGGUGCGACGCCGCGUGGGGGAAUGAAGGUCUUCGGAUUGUAAACCCCUGUCAUGUGGGAGCAAAUUAAAAAGAUAGUACCACAAGAGGAAGAGACGGCUAACUCUGUGCCAGCAGCCGCGGUAAUACAGAGGUCUCAAGCGUUGUUCGGAAUCACUGGGCGUAAAGCGUGCGUAGGCUGUUGCGUAAGUCGUGUGUGAAAGGCGCGGGCUCAACCCGCGGACGGCACAUGAUACUGGGAGACUAGAGUAAGGGAGGGGGAACCGGAAUUCUCGGUGUAGCAGUGAAAUGCGUAGAUAUCGAGAAGAACACUCGUGGCGAAGGCGGGUUCCUGGACAUUAACUGACGCUGAGGCACGAAGGCCAGGGGAGCGAAAGGGAUUAGAUACCCUUGUAGUC
rnacentral:rRNA from 1 species